rnacentral:rRNA from 1 species
UACGGAGGGAGCUAGCGUUGUUCGGAAUUACUGGGCGUAAAGCGCGCGUAGGCGGCUUUGUAAGUUAGAGGUGAAAGCCCGGGGCUCAACCCCGGAAACUGCCUUUAAGACUGCAUCGCUUGAAUCCAGGAGAGGUGAGUGGAAUUCCGAGUGUAGAGGGUGAAAUUCGUAGAUAUUCGGAAAGAACACCAGUGGCGAAGGCGGCUCACUGGACUGGUAUUGACGCUGAUGUGCGAAAAGCGUGGGGAGCAAACAGGG